rnacentral:rRNA from 1 species
GACGAACGCUGGCGGCGUGCUUAACACAUGCAAGUCGAACGGUAAGGCCCUUCGGGGUACACGAGUGGCGAACGGGUGAGUAACACGUGGGUGAUCUGCCCUGCACUUCGGGAUAAGCCUGGGAAACUGGGUCUAAUACCGGAUAGGACUCCGGACUGCAUGGUCUGGGGUGGAAAGCUUUUGCGGUGUGGGAUGGGCCCGCGGCCUAUCAGCUUGUUGGUGGGGUGAUGGCCUACCAAGGAGACGACGGGUAGCCGGCCUGAGAGGGUGACCGGCCAAACUGGGACUGAGAGACGGCCCACACUCCUACGGGAGGCAGCAGUGGGGAAUAUUGCACAAGGGGCGCAAGCCUGAUGCAGCGACGCCGCGUGAGGGAUGACGGCCUUCGGGUUGUAAACCUCUUUCAGCAUCGACGAAGCGAAAGUGACGGUAGGUGCAGAAGAAGGACCGGCCAACUACGUGCCAGCCGCCGCCGUAA